UUGAUCUUGGUUUUAGGUUUUUGUUUUGAUUGAUCUUGAUUCUUGCAAGAAAGUGAUCAAAUUAAGGCAGGGGAAGAUCACAAAGCUUCUGAAAAAGAAAAGUGCUUGGAAAUGGGGUGGUGGGGAUUUUGUCCGAGUCAGUAAACAAGUGGGAGAGAAGAGCACCUUUGACUCCAUCUCACUGUGCUAGGCUGCUCCACAGUGGCAGAGACAAAACUGGGGUUGCCCGCAUCAUAGUGCAGCCCUCCACAAAGCUCAUCCAUCAUGAUGCAAUGUAUGAGGAUGUUGGGUGUGAAAUCUCUGAGGAUUUAUUCCAAGCUGGAGAUGAUUCUUCCUGAUAGAGCCUAUGCAUUUUUCUCUCAUACUCACAAGGCUCAGAAGGAAAACAU